GCGCGGUUAGUUUAGUGGUAAAACUCUCCUCCCCCAAGUGGUGGGAAAUAACAGAAAAGGAGUGUCCCGGGUUCGAUCCCCGGAUCGCGCA
rfam:Fusarium graminearum chromosome 4, complete genome